rnacentral:rRNA from 1 species
UAAAAACCCCGACUUCGGAAGGGGUGUAUUUAUUAGAUACAAAACCAAUGCCCUUCGGGGCUCUUUGGUGAUUCAUGAUAACUAUACGAAUCGCACGGCCUUGCGCCGGCGAUGGUUCAUUCAAAUUUCCUCCCUAUCAACUUUCGAUGUUUGGGUAUUGGCCAAACAUGGUUGCAACGGGUAACGGAGGGUUAGGGCUCGACCCCGGAGAAGGAGCCUGAGAAACGGCUACUACAUCCAAGGAAGGCAGCAGGCGCGCAAAUUACCCAAUCCCGACUCGGGGAGGUAGUGACAAUAAAUACUGAUACAGGGCCCUUUCGGGCCUUGUAAUUGGAAUGAGUACAAUUUAAAUCCCUUAACGAGGAACAAUUGGAGGGCAAGUCUGGUGCCAGCAGCCGCGGUAAUUCCAGCUCCAAUAGCGUAUAUUAAAGUUGUUGUGGUUAAAAAACUAAUAGUAGAACAUUGGGACUGGAAGGCCAGUCCGCCUCACAGAAGGAAUUGGGCAGGAUGGACCUUUCGAAGAGGGCAACAAAAAAAUUCACUGGAAGGUGGAGGGCAAGUAAGAAUUUAAGGAUA